AAACUUCCUAGUAGUCAAUGUAGACUGACAGUAGGCCAUUAACAUGACCAGUGACCAGACCAGCAAGCGACAAAGAUGGCAUGACAGUGCAAGAAAUUGCACAAAAGACAGGAUUUCUAGUUCCAUUUUAUUGUAUGAGGAGUUGACUUCCAUUUUGUGGCAUAUUUCUAAGUAUAUUCUAUUAGUAAUCUACUUCUGUUUUCAUGCACUUUUCACUUUAUGGUCUUAAACAUUCUACAUGUUCUGACCUUGACGUAAACUAUUCAUUCAGAUAUUUUUUGUGGGUGCAGAGAUGGACACAAAUACCCCUCACUUAACUUAAUCCCAGUAUACUCCAUUAGUGAAUGGGCUAAUGUGUCCAAACCUUUGACUGGUACUAUAUACAGUAUAUCACCCAUUCUUCAGAAUUGGGACAAAAAUGUACAUAUUUUUAUUAUUUGAUGUUUUACUCUUCAUUAUGCUGUGAAAAUAUAUUUUAUAAGAUCUAAGUCUUGGCUAUUAAACCUUGUAACAGACCAAUCUCCCAGAGAUGACUUAAUUAAUUUGCAUGAUUUGCAGCUGAGGACUGGAAUUUUGUCAACUCUGUCAGGCACAUACAAAGUCAUAGUAUAAUAAUAUAAAACAUGAAG